CCCAAUCUUUGCCACUCUGUGGUAAAACUUUUUCUUCUUCAGCUCCUUUGAUAAAUAUCACAGCAUCAUGUGGCAGAGGUCAACAUUUUUAAAUUUCCAGACUCAUAUUGUAAUUAUCUAUGAAAAAAAACAGUGCUACUGAGAUCUGGUCCUGUCAGCAAAGUCAGCGCUUGUACCUUCUCCAGGAGGCAAUACUGUCCAAGGAAGAGAACAAAGCCCGAGAAAUCUGAAUUUGGCAAAUGCUCACUCUCAGAGCCUCGUGAAGAUUUUCAGAUAGGCUUUGCAGGCUCUGAGAAUUAAGCUCACGGCUGUGGUGUCUAGCACGUGUCAUAUCUAAUGAUUGUGUAGAGUACUGCAGGAUUGCAUAUGGGAAUUAUACGUUUCCUUUGAGUUACCAUGAACAGUACCGGUCAGGCUAAAGGACAGCGUGCUGUUUUUCUGAUCAAAUAAGGGAAGAGACAAAAUGAAGACCUUCAGCUUCCCUCAGCACCAAAGUACUUAACGCUCUUGGGGAGACCCACCAGCAAUCAGCAUCACCCCAUGCAGCCCUUUCCAGGCUGUAUCCUUUACAAGAAAUGCUCCAGGGGUCAGAUCUGUCCUCCUUUAUGCUCCCCAGUUUUCUGCUAUGCAUCAUGCAUCAAUAUAUCCCAGAUGCAAGGCUAAAAUCCUUUGUCUCUCCAAACAUCCUCUGGAAAACAGGGAGUGAAAAAGAUUAACUAGAACCAGAAUCUGAAGGACGUGUGCUUCCAUAAAUGCAACACAAGGCAUGGUUUGACGGGUGGAAAUUUAUGGUGAUAAUGAAGAAUUCAAGGAGAACACAGCUUGGAUUUCAAGAAGGUCAGAAGCCUGCAGAGUUGGCAGGUGGACACGAUUUUAUGACGGAUGCUCAGAGCAAGAGACAUUUUGAAUACUUCACAAAUGGUAUCGAAGACAUGGAAUUCCUAGCUUCCAUCCUGAGAGUUAACAUUUGCUGUUUCUACAGGCUGAUCAAACCGUGGUAAUUUUUAUAAAGAUAGCAAAGCAAUAUAUUGUAUUCUAUAGUGUAUUUUUUCUGCAAACACAAAAUGUUACACGUUGCAAGUGAUUUUUGCAAGUACUUAAGGAAUUAGUAGUUCCCCAGAAUAAAAGACCCUGAAAUAUUGGAUCAUAUGGGCUCAAAACACAUCUUUUGAGAAAGAGCAACCAUAGGACUCAUCCUACAGACACUGUUUUAUUGUACUUUAAUCAAAGCUCAAUUAGUCACAAGAUUUAAACAGAUUUCAGCAAUAAAAUGGAUGUCUCAGACUUGUCUUAUGCAACCAAAGAGCAAAAGAAUAAUGUUUUUUUUUUUUUAAUGGAAAACAUUUUUGCUUGAGUUAAGGAACAUUUACAAAAUAACUGCCAAAUCACACUACUUGUGAAAGUGAAAUGUUUUAAUUGGCUUUCAAAAUUUUUCUGAUGAAGCAAAUUUUUUGUCUUUUCCAUCCGCAGACCUAAAACCACCCUAUGACUGACAGUAGUUCCUUCAGGUACUGCAUUAGCACUGUCAUUAUUAUUCUUGAGUAUUAUCAGGACUCUUGUUGUAGCUCUAUGAAAUGUUUUCCUUAUGGCAGACAAAUCUUGUCACCAAAUGUUCUCUAAUGCAUUUAUAGUUGAUGUGUAUUAAAGAUAAAUAAAUAGCAAAUUAUACAUGUGACGUCACCUAAUAGUCUUGUUACGAUAUUUAUUAUGUCUGUGGCCAUACACUGGUCUAGCUCUUUCUCCCACUCUCUAUUUUCCACA
ensembl:lncRNA